UUCCAGAACCCUCCCACUUGCAUUAUCUCAGGAUGUUGAUGGAGUCAGAGGCUGGAUGGCUGCCUUGGAGACCCUCGUCAGAGCCAAGCCUUUUCUCUGAGCUGGGAGCCUUUCCCAGUUUCCCGCUGAGGUUUCUCUUGCUCUCCAGGAGUCCCUGCCUGCCCAAUGGAAAGACCUGCCCAAUGGAAAGCCCAAUGGGAAGGUGAUCCCGGAGUCCCAUAACUAAGGCCUGUGGAUCCCAGUUGAGAGCCCCUCUUCCAAUUCCCAGCCACG